CAGCCGCCACGGUAAUACGAAGGGGGCUAGCGUUGCUCGGAAUGACUGGGCGUAAAGGGCGCGUAGGCGGCGAUCAAAGUCAGGCGUGAAAUUCCUGGGCUCAACCUGGGGGCUGCGCUUGAUACUUGGUUGCUUGAGUGGGGAAGAGGGUCGUGGAAUUCCCAGUGUAGAGGUGAAAUUCGUAGAUAUUGGGAAGAACACCGGUGGCGAAGGCGGCGACCUGGUCCUUGACUGACGCUGAGGCGCGAAAGCGUGGGGAGCAAACAGGAUUAGAGACCCCCGUAGUCCCUGUCUCUUAUAA
rnacentral:rRNA from 1 species